rnacentral:rRNA from 1 species
GCCCGUGCGCUUUGGGAUAAGCCUGGGAAACUGGGUCUAAUACCGAAUAGGACCACGCGCUUCAUGGUGUGGGGUGGAAAGCUUUUGCGGUGUGGGAUGGGCCCGCGGCCUAUCAGCUUGUUGGUGGGGUAAUGGCCUACCAAGGCGACGACGGGUAGCCGGCCUGAGAGGGUGACCGGCCACACUGGGACUGAGAUACGGCCCAGACUCCUACGGGAGGCAGCAGUGGGGAAUAUUGCACAAUGGGCGCAAGCCUGAUGCAGCGACGCCGCGUGAGGGAUGACGGCCUUCGGGUUGUAAACCUCUUUCACCAGGGACGAAGCGUAAGUGACGGUACCUGGAGAAGAAGCACCGGCCAACUACGUGCCAGCAGCCGCGGUAAUACGUAGGGUGCGAGCGUUGUCCGGAAUUACUGGGCGUAAAGAGCUCGUAGGUGGUUUGUCGCGUUGUUCGUGAAAACUCACAGCUUAACUGUGGGCGUGCGGGCGAUACGGGCAGACUAGAGUACUGCAGGGGAGACUGGAAUUCCUGGUGUAGCGGUGGAAUGCGCAGGAUAUCAGGAGGAACACCGGUGGCGAAGGCGGGUCUCUGGGCAGUAACUGACGCUGAGGAGCGAAAGCGGUGGGGAGCGAACAGGAGUAGAUACCCUGGUAGUCCACGCCGUAAACGGUGGGUACUAGGUGUGGGUUCCUUCCUUGGGGAUCCGUGCC